UCCCAUGGACAGAGGAGCCUGGCGGGCUACAGUCCGUGGGGUUGCAAAGAGUCAGACACAGUUUUACAACUAAACAGGAAACCUUGCUCUACUCCUUCAAAUCUAUUACAUCUUAUUUGAAAAUUUUAUGAAAAAUUUAAUUGAAAAAUUAUGAGGCACCAUGCUAACACCUCAUAGCAUGAACUCAACUGAAGACACGGUGUUAGUAUAUAGCGUUGAGCGGAAUGUUGGGGCACCCUUAAACUAGAGAUGUUUUAAUAUAUUUUUUGCUUGAAGGGACACCCAUGUGUAUACACAUGUAUGUAUGUGUGUCUGUAUACUUCCGGGUAGGUAUACUAUAUAUAUGGAGAAGGAAAUGGCAACCCACUCCAGUAUUCUUGCCUGGAGAAUCCCAGGGACGGAGGAGCCUGGUGGGCUGCCAUCUAUGUGGUUGCACAGAGUCGGACACGACUGAAGCGACUUGGCAGCAGCAGCAGCAUACAAUAUAUACAUACAUGUAAAUACACACACACAGACAGACAUAUAUACACGUGGGUAGCUUGAGUAUAAGUCGCUGCAAAAAUUGUUUUCCCAACUCACCCUUGAUGGAUGCAACUCUAAAGAUCAUUCAAGUAAUCUGUUUUCCCCAUCGGUGUCGAUUCUAUGAGAAAAUGGCGAUUUCUCCAAAUUAAACAUUUGCACGGAAGGGCGUCCUCAUCUCAUUAUCUACACGAGGAACACAGGAAAAGCUCUUGUGUACCUGGGAGCCUGCCCUUUUUCUUCCUUCCCGAAAGCCUGCGGUGGGCGCCCUGGUUGCCAGGGGUUGAAUGAGCAGCGAGGGGUUGAAUGAGCACCGCGGGGCGAGAACGUGAGGGUCUCGACUCCUCCCCGGAGGCCCAGGCUCUUAAGUGCGGACACUAGGCAGAGAGACGACCCCUGUUAUCACACGCACGCCUGUCUCCCCGGAGAACCCCGGGGCCGGUAGGCAUGGAUCUCUGACGGAACAGAUGGAAAAAAACUACUUCCUGCGUCGUCGACGAGCUUGGAAGCUUGAGCAGCUCCUUACGUGGUCUGGGGUGGACUCUGCAACAGAGUGUCCCUGCAGAGUCAGCGCGUUCCCCUUCUGCACGGAGAUGGGAGAGCCUUCACGGAGGACGCAUGCGCAAACGCAGAGCUCAUCUCUGAAACCACGGGUUUCCCCUAGACACUGUUCCCAGCAUCUGGAUUUUCAAACCCUCAGAAUCUCAAAAGGGAAGUCUUCAAAUUAUUAUUGGCUGUGUGUUUAUCGUCUAUCUUCAUUGGUCCUAAAUAUAUCCGUAAGUAUUUGUGCCAGCCAUCUUUGUACUGUUGUACAGUUUAAAAGCGGAGUAUAUACAUAGACGCAAAAUAUUAUUAAAUUAUUAAAUACACUUAAUUUUGUAAAAUUUAAUGGCGUUUGUUUUGCCUGGGCCAUAGACGUUGAGCAAAUACAUUUUUAGUUCAGAUCAAGGUUCUGAAGCUUCUGUCUUCCUUGAAAUACCUGAAGUAGGUCUUAUGAGCAUUUCAUUCUGCUAUAAUAUUUGAUACAUUUUAUUAGUAUUAUUGGAAGAGAAGACUAGGCAGUAAAAGAAAGCUGAGUUUCCUUUAUAAAUUUCAAUAAUAUUGAAAUGAGCAAAAAUAUAAUUAGUUUUUUGAAUUUUUUAAAAUUUGCCCUAAUAAAGGUCUAAAAUUUUAUGUUGUUUAAUUUUAAAACCAAUUUCGUAGCUGAUUCUCUGUUUUAUUGAAAUGAAAUGCACUUCUCUGAUAUGAGAAAAAGUAUAUUAAGUGACAGUAUUUACUCUUUAAAAAAGUCAAGCUCAUCAAACAUAUGAAGUCAUCAAAUACAAGUGCGUAACGUGAUAUACAUCGAGGCUGUGUGCAUCUUUUUACUGAGAAUAUUCACUCCUCGGUGAUGGGUUUAUUUAUCGGGGCUGUCGUCUUGUUGUAUGUGGGCUCAGGGAGCAAUCUUUAUAAACGAAUGUGUGCCCUUCACAUCAUCCAGUGUUAUUUUAAUAUAAAAAUGGGAAGGAAAUCCAGAAACGAGGGGAUAAACAUACACUUAGACCCAAGCAGAGACUAACACAUUACAAAGCAGUUACUCCCAAUAAAAUUUUCUUCAAGAGACAGUAAUGUUUAUGACAGGUAAAAUUUCCAGAAUCCAAAGUUUACAAACAGAUCUCUGUCCUAGAAAGACCUGGAAGAACCCAGAACCCAUCUAGAGAACAGAACCCAUCCUCCAGCUCAGCACUGCUGAGACUUAGGGCCGCACGGCUCUCUGUUGGUGGGCAGGACCUGCCCUCGGCACUGUGGGGCGUGGAGAGGCACCCCUGGUCUCCACCCACCAGAGGCGAGGCGCACCCCACCCCGGAUGUGAUGACCACAUGCUCUGUUGUCACAGCCCACACCAUCUUGGGGUACAGAGUCGCCCCCAGUGACAAAUACUGCAUCGUAAUAAUGUUCACCGAAUAGAGGAAAACUGCCCUCUGCAAGGCGGAACUGAGUCAACUGGAGUAGGCACACCUGGGAAGUGCUUACACUGGACCUCAAAGCCCUUAGCGGUAUCUUUUAUCUGCACUGAAGAACCUGAUUAAAAGGCUGAGUUUGUGUAUCAUGCGAGUGCAAAGAUUCACUUUGUCCUACUGACCAGGCAGCAUCAUUUACAAUGAUGGGAGUCUUACUUAACGCCCUUUCUUACACCAUAUGUUGUGGGGUUCGUCAGAUUCAGUCCUGUGAGUGCAAAUAUCUCAAUCUAAACUUAGGCACACGUGCAUAUCGUCACCAGAACACAGAGGCUAAAUACCCAUUGCGUUGUACGUUCAUUUACGAUAAAAAUGCGCAAAGCUGGUGGCCCAUGUCUAUGGUUUCGCAUGGCUAAACUCAGCUUCUCACCUCUCCUGGACACUUGGCAAGUUACACCAAUCACAGAGUGACUCACACAGGUCUCUGCAGAGCUGUUAGGACUUUUCCUUGACAUAACCAUAAUGCGCAGAUAAGAGAAUGGCUACCCUCUCAUCCAAACCAUGUCCCUUAGACAGAUCAUUUAAAAGUCAAUAUUUAUUUAUGUAUGUAAUAAAAAAUGAUUUUGUGUGUCAUGUUAUUUAGAGAGAAAUAAUCUUGUAAACAGAUGUUGUAAAAAAAAAACACAAAAGCAUUGUAAAUAGUCUGAUCUCUGUCACUCGUUAUUUUCAUGUUAGAGUCUGUACAUACUGACUGAUUCCAUAAUAAAGGACCUUUAAACCUGCUCAGUGGACUAAACUUGUUACUUUCCUGAAAACAUACACACACACACACAUUUUCUUUUCACUUAGAAAAAUGAGCAGUUUCCUAUGACGCUGGGGAGACUGAAAAAGCUUCAUUCUCCUGUCAGUAUGACUAGAACUCAAAGUCUGGUCAAAGAUCGAAGGCGGGAGGAGAAGGGGGCGACAGAGGAUGGGAUGGGUGGAUGGCAUCAUCGACUCAAUGGACGUGAGUUGGAGUAAACCCCAGGAGAUGGUGAUGGACAGGGAGGCCUGGCGUGCUGCCGUCCACGGUGUCACAGACAGUCAGACACAACUGAAGGACUGAACAACAACAAACAGAAAUGCAACAAGGCAGCUCGUCGUCCUGCACAGAAUGUUUUGGACUAUUGACGGAGAUCACUGCAUCAUGGUUUUCACUCUGUUUACAAGCAUGACUCUCAAUGGUUUUGGUGGCAUUUUCCAUCCAUUGGUCCACGGGCUUAAACAACUGUCCCCCUCCACCACCCCCGACCCCAGGAGCUGUCCAUAAAAUGCUACUAGAUACAUGUUGUGCUCAUAAGCUUUCAGCCACAGCCCUUGGUUCUCAACAGCAGUCACUGCAGGCAGUGGGGGGCGGGGGACGAGGAAUCCCCUCCCCAGCAGAGGGUUGUGCAGACCCUCACACUGGGUGGGCGCUGUGCCCACGGGCAUCUCCACCUGUGACUUAGGAGGAUACUACUCCAUAAACCACCCGAAGAAGGUGGUCCAUCUGAAAGCUGAGAUGAGUUCUGUCUCCAUCAAAUCACCUUAUUUCUCACGCAUUCACCAGGCAGGAAUGUCCUUAAAGUUUCUGCUGCUGCGUGGUCCUGCUAUAUGGGUGAGAUAUUGGCUAUGAGGGCAGUCCCAGGUUUUCAAGGGCUGCUUCUUCUAGGAGAAGGCGACUAGACAACUGGAGAGGGUGAGAAACCCGAGGAGGAAAAGAAAGCAGAGCGUUGGGUGAGGGAGAGGCUGUGGCGUCCUGACUUUCAUGUUCUUAGGCAGGAUCACCGUGGGCUGAGACCCCCACGGUGAAGAAGCUGGUGGCUACCCAAGGGAUGGAUGUGGGGCGCCCACAGGGAGACACGGGACCUCUGAGGUGUGAGCCUGGGCUUCCUGAGUGACAUCCAGAGCCAGCUAUCUUUCCUCCUGUUGUUUCUGAUCUCUCCUUGAAAAAAUGAUGGGAUUUUCCUGACAAAAAAAAUCAAACAUUUGUGUUGUGUUUAUAAUCAGAAGCGGCUGCAUGUAGAGAGACCGUGCUGGUCAGUGGCCCAGUAAAUUCUCAAACAAUGGUGAUGGACUCUUUUUUUAAAAAAAUACAUGAGCCACACCUAAGAAUCUGGACACACAAGGUACACUGUCGCCUGACUACGUUUUUGUGAACUUUCUAGAACAGCAAAGUCCGUGGAAGCAGAAAACACCUGGGUUAGCUGCCGGGGACUGGAGGGGGGACCGGGUGGGAAGUGCUUCAUGGGGACAGCGUUCACGUCUGGAGGCGAUGACAAGGUUUUGCAACUUUAUAGAGGGGAUGGUUGUGCGUUUUGAACAGGAACUGAAUGCCACUGAAUUACACUCUUUAAAAAUGGUCCAGUUCAUGCGACGCAAGCCUUCACUAGGAGAAACAUAUAGGCAACACCACGUAAUUUCCAAAUACAACAGAGGUUAAAUAUCACAACCCAGCGUGAGUACAAAUACAACUUAUUUGCAGAACGAAUUAUCCAUCUGACUUUCAAAU
rnacentral:lncRNA from 1 species